AAAAAAAACAAUGUCAGGGUUGUUAUCCGCGAUGAGUGAGAACUCAACGUCAUUCGUAUUCAUGAAGAAAACGAAGUGCUGAAGCUAUAGCUGCGGAAAAACUACAGGUAAACCGUAUGGAAAAAGGAAAAUGCAAGGCUACAUGUGCGGACAAGCGGAAAGAUAAUGCCUUGGUUGAACUUCAUCAACGAAAUGGUGGAGUUGUGAUCCGCAGUGAGUUGAAACUUCGUAUUCGUUCAAAGAGUAGCUUUUAACCCAUAAAACUCCUCCGAAGAAAGCCGUGUCCCACUCAAUACUUCUUCCGCCUCAAUACAAUACAUGCAUUGGGAAAGAUACUUUCUGCAUGCAAACAUAUCCCUGUCUGAACGGCGAUCCGACACUCCCGCGUUCCUCUCUCUC